rnacentral:tRNA from 1 species
UGUAAUUUAUUUUAGUUAGAAUAUUUGUUUUUGAAAUAAAAGGGRAUAAUUACAG